rnacentral:rRNA from 1 species
GAUGAACGCUGGCGGCGUGCCUAAUACAUGCAAGUCGAGCGAACAGACGAGGAGCUUGCUCCUCUGACGUUAGCGGCGGACGGGUGAGUAACACGUGGAUAACCUACCUAUAAGACUGGGAUAACUUCGGGAAACCGGAGCUAAUACCGGAUAAUAUAUUGAACCGCAUGGUUCAAUAGUGAAAGACGGUUUUGCUGUCACUUAUAGAUGGAUCCGCGCCGCAUUAGCUAGUUGGUAAGGUAACGGCUUACCAAGGCAACGAUGCGUAGCCGACCUGGAAGGGUGAUCGGCCACACUGAAACUGAAAAACGGUCCAGACUCCGACGGGAGGCAGCAGUAGGGAUACUGCCGCAAUGGGCGAAAGCCUGACGGAGCAACGCGGCGGGAGUGAGGAAGGUCUUCGGAUCGUAAAACUCUGUUAUUAGGGAAGAACAAAUGUGUAAGUAACUAUGCACGUCUUGACGGUACCGAAGCAGAAAGCCACGGCUAAUUACGG